GGAAUAUAAUUCAAAACAAAUUCAAUUUUUCAUAUAGACUAAUAUUAGAAUAGGAAAUGUACACAAAGUCAUAAGCCAAAACAUGUCCAACUACUUUUCAAUUACAAAGAACAAUUAUUGCUAACUAGGAAUGGGACUAGCUAGAGACAUAGGAGAGUUGUGUACCUAGCAUUUAUCGUGGGCACGAUAACGAGUACACUAGAGGAGUCCAACAAUAUUAAUGGUUAGCUACAUCAAUCAUUUGACACUUUUUUCUCAAUUUAGUAGCCAAUUCAGCUAAUGCUUUUGUAGAAGAACCAUCUUCACUUAGCACUUUGGCUGCUGCAUCUUUAAGGUCUCUCAUUCUACUGCGCACUCCUUUUCCUUCUUCACCUUCCAUUAGUCCUUUCACAACUUUAGCAAUUUCCAAUCUUCCCACUAUGCCAUUUUCUUCAUUCACUUUUGGCCUUAGUGCCACUUUUAUAUCCUCACUUAACAUGACCGCGUUCAUUUUUUGUUCCGCAUAGAGUGGCCAUGCUAUAAGUGGUACCCCAUGGACUACACUCUCA
rnacentral:misc_RNA from 1 species